AAGAUUGGUUUAUAAUGGCAUUUGGUGUGGAAACGGAAGUGCUUUUGGUGAGUGGCGAGUUCUUGAGCUCAUGUUACGGCUAACUCUACGCGCCACAUGCACAGCGCACGUAAGGCCAUGUAUGGAUAGGGGCCUAUCCGGAGAUGUCGGUGGGAGCCUCGGGAAGAGUUAUCUUUUCUAUUUAACAGCCUACCCACCCUGCAAUCGGCUCAGCCUGAGGUAGGGUCCAGCGGCUCGAAGAGCACCGCACAUCGCGUGGUGUCCAAUACUCUCCCGGCGGCCCUUGAAAAUUCGGAGGACCGAAUGUCGUCCAUGCCCGGUCGUACUCAUAACCGCAUCAGGU
rnacentral:ncRNA from 1 species